AGGACUAACGCUGGCGGCGUGCCUAACACAUGCAAGUCGAACGGGGGUAGCAAUACCCCAGUGGCAGACGGGUGAGUAACACGUGGUCAACCUACCUCUGUGUGGGGGAUAACUAGCCGAAAGGUUAGCUAAUACCGCAUACGAUCGUUUUGAGGCAUCUCGAGACGAUGAAAGGAGCAAUCCGCACGGAGAGGGGACUGCGUCCCAUUAGUUAGUUGGUGGGGUAACGGCCUACCAAGACUCCGAUGGGUAGCUGGCUUGAGAGAGCGACCAGCCACACUGGAACUGAGACACGGUCCAGACUCCUACGGGAGGCAGCAGUGAGGAAUUUUUCCGCAAUGGGCGAAAGCCUGACGGAGCGACGCCGCGUGUGGGAUGAAGGCCUUCGGGUCGUAACCACUGUCGAAGGGGACGAUAUUGACGGUACCCUUGGAGGAGCCCCGGCUAACUACGCGCCAGCAGCCGC
rnacentral:rRNA from 1 species